GCUUACGGCCAUACCACCCUGGCAAUGCCCGAUCUCAUCUGAACUUGGAAGUAAAGCAGGGUCUGGCCUGGUUAGUACUUGGAUGGGAGACUGCCUGGGAAUAUCAGGUGCUGUAAGCU
rfam:Danio rerio chromosome 4, GRCz11 reference primary assembly.